rnacentral:misc_RNA from 1 species
GUUUGGAAGUACCACAAAUGUUAAUGACAUUCCUUAUGCCUACAUUGCGAAACUGAAAUACUCAGAAUUAAUUUUACUAAUAAUACACCUCUUCAGAUUGGAUAACGAGCAAACCACCUAUCAACCAUGGCUUGACAUUCUUUGGGUUUGUACUCUGGAGCUGUGUGACCACCUCCCUUUACAGUCACAUAUGUCAAUCGGAAGUGCUCAUUCAUGAACUUGGUUUGGUAUCCUGCAACUUGACCAUCAACAUACCAAGGCCGCCACUCAUCAAAAACAGCAAUUUCAAGGGAUCUGAUCCAUUCUAGUGUACCCACAUAAGGGACAGAAAUGUCAUGAUCUCCACUAUAUAUCAGAGCUCUGAGACCUGUUAGGGAUAGAUUUUUGUGAACAUAAACACUACUCUGAACAUUUUCUGUGUAGGUAGGAAAUGUUUUGACACACCUAUUCCAAGUUUUCACUGUACCCUCUUGAACGCCAAGAGCGCUUUGAACUGUU